AGAGUUUGAUCCUGGCUCAGAAUCAACGCUGGCGGCGUGCCUCAGACAUGCAAGUCGAACGAUUAAAGCUCUCUUCGGAGAGUGCAUAGAGUGGCGCACGGGUGAGUAACACGUAAGUAAUCUACCCUCGAGUGGGGAAUAACGUCCGGAAACGGACGCUAAUACCGCAUAAUGCAGCGGCACCGCAAGGUGACAGUUGUUAAAGAUUUAUCGCUUGAGGAGGAGCUUGCGGCAGAUUAGCUAGUUGGUAAGGUAAUGGCUUACCAAGGCUACGAUCUGUAACCGGUCUUAGAGGACGGUCGGUCACACUGACACUGAAUAACGGGUCAGACUCCUACGGGAGGCAGCAGUCGGGAAUUUUGGGCAAUGGGCGAAAGCCUGACCCAGCAACGCCGCGUGAAGGAUGAAGUAUUUCGGUAUGUAAACCUCGAAAGAAUAGGAAGAAUUAAUGACGGUACUAUUUAUAAGGUCCGGCUAACUACGUGCCAGCAGCCGCGGUAAUACGUAGGGACCAAGCGUUGUUCGGAUUUACUGGGCGUAAAGGGCGCGUAGGCGGCAUGACAAGUCACUUGUGAAAUCUCUGGGCUUAACCCAGAACGGCCAAGUGAUACUGUUGAGCUAGAGUGCGGAAGGGGCAAUCGGAAUUCUUGGUGUAGCGGUGAAAUGCGUAGAUAUCAAGAGGAACACCUGAGGUGAAGACGGGUUGCUGGGCCGACACUGACGCUGAUGCGCGAAAGCCAGGGGAGCAAACGGGAUUAGAUACCCCGGUAGUCCUGGCCCUAAACGAUGAAUACUUGGUG
rnacentral:rRNA from 1 species